GAACGCGAAGAAACCUUACCCGGGCAUUGAAUAUGUAGAUGACCGCAUCCUGAGAAUGNUAGUUUGUCCCUUCGGGGACAUCUAUGUAAGGUGCUGCAUGGUUGUCGUCAGCUCGUGCCGUGAGGUGUCGGCUUAAGUGCCAUAACGAGCGCAACCCCUGUCUACGGUUGCCAUCAGGUGAAUGCUGGGAACUCCGGUAGAUACUGCCGCUCGUAAGGCGUGAGGAAGGUGGGGAUGACGUCAAAUCAGCACGGCCCUUACAUCCGGGGCUACACACGUGUUACAAUGGUAAGGACAAAGGGCAGCUACCUUGUGCGACUGGAAUGUCGUAAUCUCUAAACCUUAUCACCAGUUCGGAUCGGAGUCUGCAACUCGACUCCGUGAAGCUGGAUUCGCUAGUAAUCGCGCAUCAGCCAUGGCGCGGUGAAUACGUUCCCGGGUCUUGUACACACC
rnacentral:rRNA from 1 species